rnacentral:lncRNA from 1 species
GAGGAGUGCAGUGCAGUAUUGUUGUAGUAUGAGGUCGAUCAGACGAACGUAACCAUGCAUUCUCACUCACUCAUCAGCUACCUGCAGCAUGAGAGGGAGGUCGAGGGGGUUCAGUCCCGGGCAGGGCUUGGGCAGGAGCGCGUCGUCAGGGAUCAUGAGCGGGAGGUCGAGGUACUUCACGUCCUCCAAGCUGCAAUCCGCCUUGGCCUCGACGAACCAAGCGCCCUCGCCAGUGCAAGCGACACGAACCUCGCCGCCGCCCUCGGGAUCGUCCACGAACCGCCCCGCGAAGGGGUAGUACUUCACCAGCGCCUUCGACAGUGCUUCCCUGAUGACCCUG